UACGGAGGGUGCAAGCGUUAUCCGGAUUCACUGGGUUUAAAGGGUGCGUAGGGGGACAGGCAAGUCAGUGGUGAAAUCUCUGGGCUUAACCCAGAAACUGCCGUUGAUACUAUUUGUCUUGAAUAUCCUGGAGGUAGGCGGAAUAUGUCAUGUAGCGGUGAAAUGCUUAGAUAUGACAUAGAACACCGAUAGCGAAGGCAGCUUACUACAGGAUGAUUGACGCUGAGGCACGAAAGCGUGGGGAGCAAACAGG
rnacentral:rRNA from 1 species